rnacentral:rRNA from 1 species
GACGAACGCUGGCGGCGUGCUUAACACAUGCAAGUCGAGCGAUGAAGCUUCCUUCGGGAAGUGGAUUAGCGGCGGACGGGUGAGUAACACGUGGGUAACCUGCCUCAAAGUGGGGGAUAGCCUUCCGAAAGGAAGAUUAAUACCGCAUAAUAUGAGAGAAUCGCAUGAUUUUCUUAUCAAAGAUUUAUUGCUUUGAGAUGGACCCGCGGCGCAUUAGCUAGUUGGUAAGGUAACGGCUUACCAAGGCAACGAUGCGUAGCCGACCUGAGAGGGUGAUCGGCCACAUUGGAACUGAGACACGGUCCAGACUCCUACGGGAGGCAGCAGUGGGGAAUAUUGCGCAAUGGGGGAAACCCUGACGCAGCAACGCCGCGUGGGUGAUGAAGGUCUUCGGAUUGUAAAGCCCUGUUUUCUGGGACGAUAAUGACGGUACAGAGGAGGAGCCACGGCUAACUACGUGC